ACACCCAAAACGGAACUGGAGGACAAACAAAUGGAAAGAAGACUUUAAUAGAUGCAGUGAAGCCCAAGCACAAGAGAAAAAAGAAGUCAUCCUCCAACGUUGAUGCAAGUUAGCUGGAUGAAAAAAUAUAUCCAGGUCAUCGUGAUACCGGGGUAUUGCUUCAUUGGACUUUGAUUUGAUCCAGUGAAAGGCAUAUGGAGUUGGGAAUGCUUCUAAAGUUGCUGCAUUGAGUGUUUAUUGUAGGAGUAAUCCAAAAGUGAAACAGGAGAGGAAAAGGUGUUAAUAUUCCUUCUGCACCCAAGGUUUUGUUUCGACUAUACUUUUACUCGAGGAUUGAUUUAUUUUUAUUUUCCUCUCUCUCUAGAAGACACAAUGGAUCGGUCAGUCAAAUCAAAUCAUGCUUCUAUUUAUAGACAUAGCCCAAAAUUUAUUUUUGUGGAGCCCAACUUACUCUUUAAGAUUGGUUUACUGUAAAACAUGAUUGUUUUUAGUGUACGUCAAGCUACUGAGAAAUAGUUUGACUUGCGUACUAGAAGUGACAAACUAAUAGGAGAAGUUAUUGCUUGGUUAGAAACAUUCAUGGGCUUGCAAGUUAAUUUCGUUGUU